UACGUAGGGUGCAAGUGUUGUCCGGAAUUAUUGGGCGUAAAGAGCUCGUAGGCGGUUUGUCGCGUCUGCUGUGAAAACUCGGGCUUAACCCGGCCUGCAGUGGGUACGGGCAGACUAGAGUGCGGUAGGGGAGACUGGAAUUCCUGGUGUAGCGGUGAAAUGCGCAGAUAUCAGGAGGAACACCGGUGGCGAAGGCGGGUCUCUGGGCCGUAACUGACGCUGAGGAGCGAAAGCGUGGGGAGCGAACAGG
rnacentral:rRNA from 1 species